GAUGAGAACGUAGUGAAAUGCGAUAAGUAAUGUGAAUUGCAGAAUUCAGUGAAUCAUCGAAUCUUUGAACGCACAUUGCGCCCCCUGGUAUUCCGGGGGGCAUGCCUGUCCGAGCGUCAUUACAACCCUCAAGCUCAGCUUGGUGUUGGGCCCCGCCGCCCCGGCGGGCCCUAAAGUCAGUGGCGGUGCCGUCCGGCUCCGAGCGUAGUAAUUCUUCUCGCUCUGGAGGUCCGGUCGUGUGCUCGCCAGCAACCCCCAAUUUUUUUCAGGUUGACCUCGGAUCAGGUAGGGAUACCCGCUGAACUUAAGCAUAUCAAUAAGCGGAGGA
rnacentral:misc_RNA from 1 species